AGCGGAGUGGCCAUAGGGCAAGUGAAGUGGUUAUGGUGCUCUCACCAACUUUUGUGAAUUCUCUUGUGGAUUGAAUUGUUCAAUCUCGGUCACAAAUUGCAUAUGACAUGUAUAUGAAUGUGAUUCAUAUGUAAUUAGGUUAAUUUUAAAUAUGCGAUAUUUAGGAUUAACAUGUAUGUUCAAAUGGUGAAUGUAUGAAAUUGGCAUGGUAGCUGAUCAUGGACUUUAGGAGACCAUUGUGAAUUGAGUUUUUGAUUAAUUCCAUGGAUUGUAAUAAUUAUUUUAAUUUUACAAGGGUUGUAUCAUAAAUUUUUGUGAUAGAGUCAUAGGUUGUACAUUCAUUUAUUUGAACUUGAAUGCUCAAUUUCAUUGUAAUUUCACCUUGGUAUGCCAAGGAUAAAUGUUAUAAUUGACUUGGUGAACUUACAAGAUGGAAUGAAG
rnacentral:misc_RNA from 1 species